rnacentral:rRNA from 1 species
AUUGAACGCUGGCGGCAGGCCCAACACAUGCAAGUCGAGCGGGGUGUUCGGACCUAGCGGCGGACGGGUGAGUAAUGCGUAGGAAGCUGCCCGAUAGAGGGGGAUACCAGUUGGAAACGACUGUUAAUACCGCAUAAUGUCUACGGACCAAAGUGUGGGACCUUCGGGCCACAUGCUAUCGGAUGCGCCUACGUGGGAUU